rnacentral:misc_RNA from 1 species
UUAAGUUCAGCGGGUAGUCCUACCUGAUUUGAGGUCAAAUUGUCAAGGUAUUGUCCUCGCGGACGGUUAGAAGCGAGUCUGAUCCUCGUCCACGGCGUAGAUAAUUAUCACACCAAUAGACGGAAGUUCAGCAUGAACCUCGCUAAUGCAUUUCAGGGGAGCAGACCGCCAGUGAAGGCAGCCUGCACAAACCCCCACAU